rnacentral:lncRNA from 1 species
AGCGUGCGAUGCGGUGAAUACUAUAAGCACUAAACCAUGGUGCAGGAUUUGAGCUCAAUAUAUAUCAUCAUCAUCAUAACAGUAAUUAAAUAAUCACCUGAUACUCACCUGUGCGUCCACCGCACCAUUUCAUACAUAUGCAUCAUAAAUCAAUUCUUACUUGUGCGUCCACCGCACCAAUUCAUACAUAUGCAUCAUAAAUCAAUUCUUACUUGUGCGUCCACCGCACCAAUUCAUACAUAUGCAUCAUAUAUUAAUUCAUGCAUGGCAUUUCAACUCACAUUUUUUCCACAUAACUCAUAUGCAUUUCAUUUUAAACAUAUUUUCAUUUCAAUUCAAUUUCUGGGAAACGUCAAGUAUAUAUAUAUACGGAAAACAAAACUGCCCACUCACCUGGAGUUCGCCCUACAACUCCCUAGCACAAUACGCCAAGGCGUCAUGACGAUCGGCGCCUAAAACAAUAAUCAAUUCCAACCUCAGAAUUUAUAGUGAUAGAAUAUAUAACUUAUAUAAAAUACGUCACUACGUAGUUCGAUCCGGAAGAUCCACCACUCAUAUUUUAAAUCCAUAACUUCCAGAGGUCCACAAUAUACCUCUAGGACAACUUCCUAAAAUUUCAUUACCAUCCAACGGUCGGAUCUCCGUCACUUUCCAAAACUAAGUGACGGUUAACAUUUUAUAUUAUGGACUUACAAUUCCAAUUCCGGAAGAUCCGCAAAUCGGAUUCCCAAUCUGUAAGUUCCAAUAAUCCUCAAAUAUUACGUAUUACAACGUAUCAAAGUUUGGUGAUGAUCCAACGGUCGGAUCAUCAAUUCACAUUUUCACCUAAUGUGAAAACUAUAAAACGUUAUUUGAACACCUAACCAACAAUCCUCAAUAACUUUCUCAUACGGUGUUCAAUUUAGGUAUAUGAAUAUACCACAGUGAUCUACUCGACGUCACGAACAUCGACAUAUUUUUAAAAUAAUUUUAUUUUUAUUUUUUAUUUUUACUGUAGCACCUUCUUCUUCCUUGGGUCGCCGGACUGGUUUUUCCGGCGGCCGUUUUCCGGGCAGUUUUUCAAAUUGCUAUAACUUUGUCAUUUCUCAACGAAAUCAAGUGAUUCAAAAACGAAAGUUGUAGCCCUUGAAGAGACAAAGAGAAUGGUACCUUGCACAACACCUAAUUCGCCUUGGUUUGGCCGGAAACUGCCUCGAAAGCCUCGGAGGUCGCCGGAAACUGGGUAUUUUUCAAAUGAGUAUAACUUCUUCAAUACUCAACGAAAUUGAGUGAAACAAAAAGUAAAGUUGUAGUACUUGACGAGACGAAGAGAUUGAUACCUACCUCGACUUCUAACUCGUCGGGGAUUCGCCGGAAAACGCCUCGAAAGCUCCGGCCAAAUUUUGAACUUGUCGAUCUCCGUGUUCUUACGUCCAAAAACUUCCAACGAAGCACUCCGAGCUUCCUUGGGACCUCACUAAGCUCGCUGUGAGCUUGGAUUGUCCUAAAAAUCAACCAAUUCAAAGCUCAUGAACAGUACACUUUCAUGGGGAGUUUAGAAUCUAGGUUUUCCGAAGUAAAACUUACCUGAAAUGGAUACCAACGUGAUCGUGAAGUCCUCAGGAUUCCAAUGGUGGUCUCAAACUUGACGUUGGUAUAGAUUUAGGGUGGUUUUGGUGGUGGUCCGUGUGAGUUCGAAGGAGAGGGAGAGAGACAGAGAAUGAGAGAUUGUGAGGGAGGAGAGAGAGAGACAGGGUACGGGAAAUAGGGAGGGAUUUGAGGUGUGUGGUCCUACCUAACCCCAAAUCACAAAAUUCCAUCUCCAAAUAACUUAGGAACAUAUAUUUCACCAAUAUAUGAUUCACAUAUCUUAAUCACGUUUAAGGGAAAUUCCGUCAAUUUACAAUCACGAGUGUAAAACUUUGGGACGGGCUGUGACAAUCUCCCCUCCUUAUAGAAUUUCGUCCCCGAAAUUCCAGCAACCAACUAAAUCAUCUAUACUCAUACAAUAGCCUCGGAUAAAUCUCUCUCAUCCGAUUCUCUUUCUCCCACAUAAUUUUCUACUGAAUGAUUUCCUUCACAAAGCUUUUACUACUUACUCUGUCUUAAUUCUCAGGACCUUCUUUUUCCAAUCCAAAGUCGUCCUUGGUUCCUUAUCAAGUCGAAUCCAAUUUAAUUCUCAAUAGUUACACCAUAAUCCCAUGUGACAAAUCUGCCACCUAGUGACAACGCAUCGAACACAAAAUACAUUAUGUGCCUUAGCCAAUUCUCAAGGCAUCACAAACUUGUAUGCAACUUCGUCGAUUCCUUUAGUGAUCAAAACAGACUGAUGUUUCUAAGACUUAUCUUGUCUUCCUUUCCAAAUCUUGUCAUUUCUGUUCGUGGUGAAUUUUCCAAAAAUAUCAAACCAUUUACCUUACACACUCGAUUAGUGGCAUAUCCAUCUGUUGAUCUCUUUUGCCAUUCCUGGUUACUUCAGGUUAACUUAAUCACCUGAAUACUUUGAGGAGACUCAUCCAUAGUCUCAGGGUCUACUAAAACUCUUUCUCGAUCGAAUCUUUCUCUACCCAGAAACAUUCCAUUCACAAGUCAUCAAAAACCGACUCACGUGACACAUUUCAUGGUCCUUAUGGCGUUACUUCGGAAACUGCACAACCAACAUACUUAAGAAACUUAGCAGUUCCGUAAUCCAAUUCUCUUUUCCAUAAAACAAAUAAGUAGUGUUGCACUGUCUGGGAAAGGUUGUUACUCAACACUGGAGUAAAUGUACUAACUUGUUACUUAACAAGUAUAACUUCUUCUCGAUCUUCCAUUCUUUUUUCUUCCGUUGGUUUUCAAUCCACAAGAUGAUACUCUUGGCAAACGUGCCAGAUAUUAAUCUUACUGUAGUCUUCUCACCAAGUGCUUCAGCUAGAACAAACUUUACGAUCACCCUGAUCGUACAAUCAUGUUCAUUAAGCAAUACAAUUCACUUUCGCUGCCUCAUAUCAAAUUCCUUCCAAGUAAUGGAUAUUGAAGACUCUUUUGAUUUGUAAAAUCUUGCAUUCUUAUCAAAUAUAAUGCCUUCAUAACUUCACAGCAAGAAUGGUAAUCAUGACUUCCAAGUCACCCGUAGGGUAAUUCAUCUCAUGAGGUUCCUUUUAUCGUGAAACGUAUGCAAUCACCCUAACAUUUGCAUCAACAUGCCUCCAAUACCAUUCAAGAAACAUCACUAAAAAUUUAUGAUUACCACUAUUCUCUAGGAAUACCAAAAUACGUGCAUGAGUGAGGAAAUACUUCAGUUGUUGAAUCCUUUGCUUACAAUUCCUUCUCACUCAUACCUAACCUCUUUUCUCAACAGUCUCGUCAAUGACAAAGCAAUGACUGAAAAAUCUUUCACAACCAUCCAAGAUAGCCUGGUAAGCUAAGAAAUUCCGAAUCUCAAUUACAGCUCGUGGUUGUUCCAAUUUCUCAAUUUCUGCUAUCUUUUAAGGAUUCACUUGAAUACCUUAAGAAUAUAUAACAAAUCUCAGAAUGCCACCUGAUUCGUCUAACUUUAGCAUUUGCUACUUAGCAUACAACCAACGUUCUCUCAAUCUUUGGUUCACCGACUUAAUACAUUUACAUGCUCUGCUCUGGCUCAGAAUAUGCCAGAAUAUCUUCAAUGAAAUGAUAUCAAUUAUCAAGGCAUUAUUGGAAUACUUAAUCCAUCAACUCAUAAAACAGCAUGAGUAUCCACAUAGCAUCACCAAACUUCAUAAGGACCAUAACAAGUCCAGAAACCAUCUUAUGAUCAACGUUAAUAUUCAAUUGGUAGUAACCAGAUCUCAAUUCAAUCUUUGAAUCUUCGCAAUUACUUCUGAGCUGGUUAAAUAAACAUCAGUACAUCACCAUGGAUAACGGUUCUUAAUCGUUACCCGACUUCAUUGUCUAUAAUCAAUGAACAGUCUCAAGAUCCAUUUUCUUCCUCACCAACAAACUGGGGCUCCUCAAAAGUGUUGUACUAGGUUGAAUAAAACUUUUAUCAACCAAUUCCCUCAACUGAAUUUCCAAUUCCCUUAACUCAUCAUGAACCAAUCUCCAAUAUAAAUUUAUACCUGGCAACAAAUCAAUAGUGAACCUCAUAUCUCUGCCUGAAGGCAAUCUAGGUAUACUUUCAGGGAAGACAUCAAGAAAAGUCUAACUCUUUCGACAUUAUUCACACUACUCCAAACAACAUCAUUUAGCACCACAUGAGCUAAGUAUUUUUGACAGCCUUUCGAAAACAAUCUCUUUGCUCUCACAGCAUAAAUAAUGGCUGAAACUCAAUCCACUUUGCAUACUUACAAAAAGUAAUCUCUGGUCAUCCAGAUCGAUGGAAAGUACUGGUUUUCCCGUAACAUUCCGUCUUGUCACAAUUAUAACCAACCAAUCUAAUGGAACAGAAUUAACUGAUACAAUAUAUAUUCUAUUAUUAUUAAGCAUUCUAAAUAAGUACAAUACUAACAUAAAAUAAUCUACCGGUUUGCUUGCUUAACGAAUCCACGAAUGAGUUAUUAAUAUUACGGUCUGCAGCCCGCAAUACUGAUAAAUCAUCGUUGUCUCGAUAAGUAGGCAACCACUCUCAAAGAUAUAACAUUACUAUUUUGUUACUCAAGGCAAAAUACAUACACUCGUCUCAACUACAUUUAUUUUACUACUACUCUCUAGGUAAUAACAUACAUAAUAAGAAAUAUAUAUCAGCCGAAGUCAACUAGAAUGACCAAUACGGCUGAUUCAACUCUUAUCUCAAUAAAUACGUCAGCCGGAUCCACUCCGCGUGGUCGUACGGGCCGAGCCUAUAACUCACCAAUUUCUCAUGUGUCAAUCGAAUCCACUUCUCAUGGCCUGUACGGAUGAACAUAUAACUCAUCAAAUCUCUCUGUACUCACAGUCAAUCCGACCAAACUACUAAGUUUAUAACUCUUCUGAAUCGACACUAUGAUAUCAUGGAAAAAUUAUUGAGUACAACUGAUUCUAGGGACGAUUCACAAUUCUGUGUCCCCUCUGUUCACAUAAACACAUUCAUUAAUUUCACACUUCCCAAAGUGUUAAUUUUUGUACCUGCUGCACAAGGUACAUUUCCUUUACUCGAGACACCUUGUCUCAAAUAUCUGGGAUUACCAGUAUAUCCAUCACUUUUACUCUGACCAGCGACAUUAAAACCUCAGCUGGAAGAAUUAACUCUAGCUUCACUUCUUUCGAAGCUCUGAAUCUUUCUAUCUCCUUGAUAUGACGAAUCAUUAACUUUAUCGUCUUCUUUUAAUUCCCAUUCAUUUCUUAUUCUUCUUUAUUCUCGUUGCUCAUGUUCUCAGAGUCCUCAAGACUCAACAGCAUCUAGCAUACUCCUGAUAAGAACUACAAUGGAUAGUGGUCACCCAAAAUACCACUUCCCUUUUGUCACCCAGCUUAAAACAACAUAACACCUCCACCAAAUUAACAACAAUAUCUGGAUGGAACGAGGCAAGUCUGAAAACUUUCUAUAAUAUCCCUCGAUCAUCACCUUCCUUGUCUCAUAUUUGUAAACUCUUGUUUACUACCAUCGAUAAAUGCCGGAGGGAUAAACUUUUCCUUAAACAAGUCCUUAAACAAUUUUAAAUCGACUGAUUCCUCUGGUGACAACAAUUAAUACUCCUGCUCCAUCAGGAUACACGUUCAUAACUCAAACCAGGUAGUCAUCUCAACCCCUUGUCAGAAGGAAGAUUCCUUUGACUUGCAUAAUCCGAAACAUCUUUUCCAAAUGGUUAAACCGUUACUUCGCUCCCUCAGGUUCAUCAUUUCUCUUAAGUGAUUCAAAUUCAACUCAUAACCCAUCUUAAAAUGCCCCUUUAGACAAUAGACUGAAUCACCAUAGUAAUAGUUUCCCCCAAACCGCUAAAUCAGGGAGACUAAAUUCCUCUAACUACGUGGUUUGCUACGAGGCGGUGUAGUUCUGACAGAAUUCACUAUAAACUUCUCAAGAUGUCCAAGAUUGCAACCAUGCUCUGAUACCAACUGACACACCCCGUCCCGAAGGAGGGCAUGCUGGCCGUCACGUGAGAGUGACGUAACCAUUUGCACAGUACGGAAGCUUUAAGAUACAAUUUAAAUUGAUACACCCGAAGGUGAGUCCUAAUUUUGUCCAAUCUGUCAGAACACCGUCGAAUUCCUCGUAGUCACCACACCUUUAUGAUUCCUGAACCUGGAGGGGCGCAAAACCAAAAUUGAGUGGGUCAGUAAAACAAUUCUUUUCUAAAUCCAAACAUUUCUCAAAACGUUGUAACCCCUCUCCGUAAAACCUGUAUACUUUCCCAGAAAUGUAAAAUAUAAAUAUACAUAUAUAUUCUCAAAACUUCAUUUUUACUAUCUCAACAUUAUCUCUUUAUCAAUCAUGCCAUGCCAUGUCAUCUCAACAUUUCUCAUAUUAAUUAUGCCAUGCCACAUCAUCUCAACAGUAAUAAGGUAUGAAUGCAUCAACAUAAUCAUAUCAGGUGCAAGAAAAGUAAUCAACCGUAGGCCCUCUAAUAGCCCUAUACGGUUGAACCUAGAGCUCAAAAUCUAUCAUUAUCACUCUACCGGAGUCACCUCUGUGACCCGUCCGGCCUUCUGCACACAAGUUACGCUCUAGUGCUUCUCAUAAAUCAUCUGUGCACAUAAUCUAAGGUCACCCACCAGUCGGAAUCUCACUAACACUCUCGCGACUGGUCUGUCGUACCCACUCCGCGUGGACUGUACGACUAGCAUCUACUUGGAUCCAAGGCGAGCGUGCGAUGCGGUGAAUACUAUAAGCACUAAACCAUGGUGCAGGAUUUGAGCUCAAUAUAUAUCAUCAUCAUCAUAACAGUAAUUAAAUAAUCACCUGAUACUCACCUGUGCGUCCACCGCACCAUUUCAUACAUAUGCAUCAUAAAUCAAUUCUUACUUGUGCGUCCACCGCACCAAUUCAUACAUAUGCAUCAUAAAUCAAUUCUUACUUGUGCGUCCACCGCACCAAUUCAUACAUAUGCAUCAUAUAUUAAUUCAUGCAUGGCAUUUCAACUCACAUUUUUUCCACAUAACUCAUAUGCAUUUCAUUUUAAACAUAUUUUCAUUUCAAUUCAAUUUCUGGGAAACGUCAAGUAUAUAUAUAUACGGAAAACAAAACUGCCCACUCACCUGGAGUUCGCCCUACAACUCCCUAGCACAAUACGCCAAGGCGUCAUGACGAUCGGCGCCUAAAACAAUAAUCAAUUCCAACCUCAGAAUUUAUAGUGAUAGAAUAUAUAACUUAUAUAAAAUACGUCACUACGUAGUUCGAUCCGGAAGAUCCACCACUCAUAUUUUAAAUCCAUAACUUCCAGAGGUCCACAAUAUACCUCUAGGACAACUUCCUAAAAUUUCAUUACCAUCCAACGGUCGGAUCUCCGUCACUUUCCAAAAUUAAGUGACGGUUAACAUUUUAUAUUAUGGACUUACAAUUCCAAUUCCGGAAGAUCCGCAAAUCGGAUUCCCAAUCUGUAAGUUCCAAUAAUCCUCAAAUAUUACGUAUUACAACGUAUCAAAGUUUGGAUGAUCCAACGGUCGGAUCAUCAUCAAUUCACAUUUUCAC